AUUUAGCCGCUAAAAAGCGGGAUUAUGUUGACCCUUCCGUGACCUAACUGCAGCUUUCUAUAAAGUCGAGAGAGGUCACGGUUAAGCAAGGCGGCCGUGUCUGCGACUCCCCGGACCUGGCUGUCUUUGACGAGCAGCUCGACUCGCAGGCGGCGCGGUCCGUGGGCCUCGUCCUGUCGCAGAUUGGGGACCGGCUGGACUGGCAUGUGAGGGAGGCACAGCAGGCUCGGCGAGCGGGGCCCAGGCUGAGCACCUCCAUCGCGGCCUCACUCUUCACCUUCACCGUUCGCGCUGUCGACAGGCUGAUCUGGGGUUUCUGAAGACUGCAGCCUGUGGAGUUUUUUUUUUUUUUUUUACAGUGUAAAUACAGUAUGCAGUAUGCACUUGCAUAAAAUUUACUUUAAAAUAGAAUUUACUUUAAAAACCUCUUAAGUUUUCAUCAGUAUUGAAAUAUUCGUUUUUUCACUUUGUGAUUAUGAUUUUGUGAUUUGUUUGUUGUCAUUGUUGAUUAAUAGUUUGGUUCUUUCCAACCCGAGGCACCUGCCAUAGCACUGUCAACAGAGCAGGGGCUGGCGACUCAACAGGUCUCACUGAAUGAUUUAGUUUCUGUAUAUCCUCAUCAGGGCUUUAUUGAAUUCAUUUUGAUGAUCACAGUCCUGUCUUGCCCUUUGGGACAAAAAACUGACUUGCAACAGGGAGAUGCAUCUUCUAUAGAAAACACAACGCAUGUCAGAGAUGCCGCUUGCAUAACACAUCAUUAUUCAGUCGUUACACAAGUUUGUGCUGCAUAUGAAAUGGGUUUCUUAUAUUCUGUCCUCGAAAUCCGAGUACCUGUAAUGCAAUUCAAAAAUGAAGUUUAUGUUGCCAUUUAAGAAAAUAAAAGAGGCCA